AGGCCAAGAAGAAAAGCAGAUAAACAGACAGGAACACAUGUUCCUGGUCCAUUGCACAAUAUCUAAAAGAGAUGAAACACAUUACAAAACUCAGAAGCUGCACACAUCAUCUUUACAUCCUAGAAUUUUGAAAUCAGAGAAGAAUAUUCUGGUUUCAAACCUUCUGCUGAACCUGAUUUCAAGCAUAUCCACACUGGGACCUUAUAUCCUAUUCUACAAUCUACUGAGAAUGAAGAUCUGAUUUUUAUAAUUUGGCUUGAUACUUUCCACAGCUGUUGAAAGAAAGUAAGCUAAGCCAGCAGUCUGGGAACACUGGGAACACUGGCACAUGGCACCACUGCUGAUAAAAGCUACUUUAGAGUUGGUGAAAGCAGCACUGUAGCAGUGACAUUUACCAGGGAAAACACUGAAAGCAGAGCUUGCAGCUUCACUGGGAUUAAAUGUCACUGGUCAAAGCAAAAAUGACUAAAGCAGUAAACUUCCAGUUUUUCUCAUAAGUACAUAAACAUACAAUUGCUGUGUAUCUUUUAAAGAGCAAGUGUUUAAGUACUACUUAUGUCCCCAAACAAAGUACAACAAUCAAAAGGAGGACAAUGAGAGUCCCCCUCAAUUUAGUAGAAAGUGGAAAACUAAUUUGCAAUUUGCUUUGCAUAGGAGACUGGCAACACCUGCUGUUCUCCUUAACGAUCUCUGCAGAGAUUGGCCUUUUGUCACCUGGUCAAGAGUAGAAAAACUGCUCUGCUCGCUGGGGAGGAUGGUGCUGUGGGAAUGUGCAUUUGUGCACUGAAGGCUGUGCUGCUUGCCAGGCAUGGAGCUGCCUCCUGGAGUACCUGUAGGACUGCUUGGGCCUCCUUUGUUCUGGUAAUGCUCCCUACUCCACAGAGCUGAACACUUGGAGAUAAGACUGAGGAAAUAGGAGGUGGUGGUGGUAGACAACCAAAAGAGGCAAAGGCAAAUGGAGUGAUACAAAAUGGACUAAAGCUGGGUUAACUGAAUGAUCCCUAUCUAUGCAAGUCCUACCUUUUAACUGCUAUGCAAUACCUACCUUUUAACAAUGUUGGAAAAACUUAUUAGAUAUUCCUAUGUUAUAGAAAUAAUGAAUUCUUUUGUUUGUGUGGUUUUUGUUUUGAUGGGGGAGGUGGUUGUUUCUGUGGCACAAGAAGUGAGAAUCUGCAGUGAAUUCAUUUGUAUUCUGCUAUGUAAAUUACAGCAUCUCAUGAGCUCAUCAGCUUUUGCUUGGUUUUAAUAUAUUACUAUUUCAAAAACUUUACACUCAAAUACUUAAGUAUGUUGAGAGGGAGUGUUCUUAUGGAAGCUUUUGCUCUUUAGUAUAUCUGAAAAUUCAAGUUUUGAACACUGAGAAAAAUUAACUUAGAAUUGUUAAUACUUUUUACAGUUUAAAAAAGGCAGGAACCUUUUUCAACAAUUC